UACGGAGGGUGCAAGCGUUAAUCGGAAUUACUGGGCGUAAAGCGCACGCAGGUGGCUGAGUCAGUCGAUUGUGAAAGCCCUGGGCUUAACCUGGGAAUUGCAGUCGAUACUACUCGGCUCGAGUAUGGGAGAGGGCAGUGGAAUUCCCGGUGUAGCGGUGAAAUUCGUAGAUAUCGGGAGGAACACCGGUGGCGAAGGCGGCGACCUGGGUAGAUACUGACGCUGAGGUGCGAAAGCGUGGGGAGCAAACAGG
rnacentral:rRNA from 1 species